GCAAACUUGGUCAUUUAGAGGAAGUAAAAGUCGUAACAAGGUUUCCGUAGGUGAACCUGCGGAAGGAUCAUUAUUGAUUUUAAAGGAUGUGCUGGCUCUUCUUCGGGGGAGCAAUUGUGCACUCCUUGAAACCGAUUUAUCCACCUGUGCACUCUCUGUAGACUGAGGGGAAUUCCAUUCCCCCUUGUCUAUGUCUCUUCACAAACUCUGUACAUUGAAUGUAUCUUGUGUGUAAUUUUGAUUACAAUGAUAUACAACUUUCAACAAUGGAUCUCUUGGUUCUCGCAUCGAUGAAGAACGCAGC
rnacentral:misc_RNA from 1 species